GAGGAUAUAGCUCAGGUGGCAGAGCGCAUGCUUAGCAUGCACAAGGUCCUGGGUUCAAUCCCCAGUACCUCU
rnacentral:tRNA from 1 species